UGGGGAAUAUUGCGCAAUGGGCGAAAGCCUGACGCAGCGACGCCGCGUGAGGGAUGAAGGUUUUCGGAUCGUAAACCUCUGUCAGAAGGGAAGAAACCGCACUGUGCUAAUCAGCAGUGCCUUGACGGUACCUUCAAAGGAAGCACCGGCUAACUCCGUGCCAGCAGCCGCGGUAAUACGGAGGGUGCAAGCGUUAAUCGGAAUUACUGGGCGUAAAGCGCACGUAGGCUGCUUUGUAAGUCAGGGGUGAAAUCCCACGGCUCAACCGUGGAACUGCCUUUGAUACUGCUUAGCUUGAAUCCGGGAGAGGGUGGCGGAAGUCCAGGUGUAGAAGUGAAAUCCGUAGAUAUCUGGAGGAACAUCAGUGGCGAAGGCGGCCACCUGGACCGGUAUUGACGCUGAGGUGCGAAAGCGUGGGGAGCAAACAGG
rnacentral:rRNA from 1 species